GGAGCUGCCUUGUCUAACCCCGUUCUCGCGAGCUCUCGGAACCCUCGCGAGACCUGACGCCCGAUUUGUGCGUCCGGGAAACCCCGUUGCUCCCUUUCCCCUGGCUGGCAGCGCGGAGGCCGCACGAUGCCCGGAGUUACUGUAAAAGACGUGAACCAGCAGGAGUUCGUCAGAGCUCUGGCAGCCUUCCUGAAAAAGUCCGGGAAGCUGAAAGUCCCUGAAUGGGUGGACACUGUCAAGCUGGCCAAGCAUAAAGAGCUUGCUCCCUACGAUGAGAAUUGGUUCUACACACGAGCUGCUUCCACAGCGCGGCACCUGUACCUUCGGGGAGGCGCUGGGGUUGGCUCCAUGACCAAGAUCUAUGGAGGACGACAGAGAAAUGGUGUCAUGCCCAGCCACUUUAGCAGAGGCUCUAAGAGCGUGGCCCGCAGAGUCCUCCAAGCCCUGGAGGGGCUGAAAAUGGUGGAAAAGGAUCAGGAUGGGGGCCGCAAAUUGACACCUCAGGGACAGAGAGAUCUGGACAGGAUCGCAGGGCAGGUGCAGCUGCCAACAAGAAGCAUUAGAACAAGUGCUGGGUUAAUAAAUUGCCUCAUUUAUAGUCUUGGUCUUGGUCUCUUGAUUGUCUGCUCUUCCAUUUGGGGGCAUGAGGAAGAAGGAGCCAGGAGUCCCUGGGUGGCUGUGGCUGCCAAAGCCUAAAGCUCAGCCUUCCCAGUUCUGCCCCCGAGGGGCAAGACGCCUGGGUUGGGCGGGGCAGGACCUAGAAACCCUUGGACCUCCCUCAUAUCCUGCCUUUGCAAUUCUCAGAAAAUGAGAAACUGAAAGAUGCUGUUCAAGCAGUGGCCCCAGCUGGAGUCUGGGUUGCUGAAGUGGCACUCUCUCCUGCUGGAACACGGGAGGGGCAGGGGGGUUGUACUGAGAUGUUUCCUUGGAAGGAAGUGGACAGGAACAGAACCCUGACGCCCUGUGGCUCUUACAGCUCUGGUUGAGCUGUGUGCCUGGUAUGCACUUGCUUUCCUGGCCUGCAUGGGCAGGGUAGUCCUGCCUGAGCCUUCACUUUUGCAUUGUGGCUAUAGCCCUGCUCUGAAACGGACUUAGAUGUGCCUGCCCUAGAGCUGUAAUGGAUGCUGAGGCCAGCUGGUGCCUGCACAGAGGCAGUGCUGUCACCUGGCAUAGCUUCAGUGGUCCUGCAUGGUGAUGGGCUCUUGGUGCCAAGGAGCUCUGCCUGUGAUUGGGCCCCUAGUGGGUGGUAGAAUCAAAGGUGCCCAGUGGGCACACAUCGAGCCAUAGGGAUGAGCAAGCCUGGAAAAGGGCCCAUUACCCUCCCCGUGUGACCAGCCCUGCCUGGUUGGGGAGAACUAAAGCUGAGCUGGCUUGCACAAGGCCCCAGUCCAAGUAACUUAGGAUCACACCCACUUCUUUCCAGUGCCAAGCCUGAAUUUCAAACAACUUGGGAUCAGAUGGCAACUCUGCCCCUAAUUCUGUGCAACUCUUGAGUAACACUCCCGCUCUGAACCUUCCAAUCCUCACCUGUAGCACUGCUUGCUCCUGAGGGAUUCCAGAGGUACCACAUGUAGAUGGUGCUGUGGCUCAGAGCAGCACAUCUGGCAGGCAGCCAAUCAACCCAGUGUUAUCCUGUUUAAGACCAAGAUAUUCAAAGAAUACCAAAUCAGAAUCCUACACUGUCAUCCCAGCUCAGUUGUCAGUGCUGGAAACUUCUGAAUAAACAGCCUACCACAUGCAAGGCACUUUGCAAAUAUGUGUCAUUAACGCUGCAACCCUGUGAAGUAAAUGCCAAAAAGCACCUGCAGUUUGAAGAAGGGGAAACCCUGUUGACACGUGAGGGCCUGCCUUUCUCCUGCGGUGUACUACUCUAUCGGCUGACGGCACCACAAUGUAUGCAUCCAUUCUCCACGCACGGGCUUAUCGUUUGGUUUGUUUCCCAGUUUUUGCUACCAGAAAUCUCCCUGCAAUAAAAGUUUUUCCUAUGUGU